GUGGGGAAUAUUGGACAAUGGGCGAAAGCCUGAUCCAGCCAUGCCGCGUGUGUGAAGAAGGUCUUCGGAUUGUAAAGCACUUUAAGUUGGGAGGAAGGGUAGUAACCUAAUACGUUGCUACUUUGACGUUACCGACAGAAUAAGCACCGGCUAACUUCGUGCCAGCAGCCGCGGUAAUACGAAGGGUGCAAGCGUUGUCCGGAAUGAUUGGGCGUAAAGGGCGCGUAGGCGGCCCGGUAAGUCUGAAGUGAAAGUCCUGCUUUUAAGGUGGGAAUUGCUUUGGAUACUGUCGGGCUUGAGUGCAGGAGAGGUAAGCGGAAUUCCCGGUGUAGCGGUGAAAUGCGUAGAGAUCGGGAGGAACACCAGUGGCGAAGGCGGCUUACUGGACUGUAACUGACGCUGAGGCGCGAAAGUGUGGGGAGCAAACAGGAUUAGAUACCCUAGUAGUCC
rnacentral:rRNA from 1 species